rnacentral:rRNA from 1 species
UACGUAGGGUGCGAGCGUUGUCCGGAAUUAUUGGGCGUAAAGGGCUCGUAGGCGGUUUGUCACGUCAGGAGUGAAAACUCGGGGCUCAACCCCGAGCCUGCUUCUGAUACGGGCAGACUGGAGGUAUGCAGGGGAGAACGGAAUUCCUGGUGUAGCGGUGAAAUGCGCAGAUAUCAGGAGGAACACCGAUGGCGAAGGCAGGUCUCUGGGCAUUAACUGACGCUGAGGAGCGAAAGCAUGGGGAGCGAACAGG